GGGGCCUGAGGACCGGAAUUGAGAAACGCUGGAUUAAUGGCGCAACAAAAUCACAUUUUUAGUGAUUAUUUGUUGAGUUGACUUCUUAGGUUAAAUACAACAAAGGAAGCAAAAUCUAGCCAACACAAACAAUAAUGACUUUUUUCUUUUCAGUUAACAUCAAGCUACAAACGUCCCAGGUUAACUUUUGUAGUUUCUAUUCAGAAACUACAAAAGAAAAAACCUUGGUGGAGGUGACAAUCAACAGCUGAAAUUCAGCUGGUUCAUUUUGACGUAUUCAGUGUCUAUUUAUGAAGUCAGAGUAAUAAUAGCCAUAAAGAACACACCCAGAGUUUGGAAUUGCAACUUGAUAUGUUGGCCAACCUAAACCUGAAAAUCCACAAGAUGUGUAGCACAAAUACGUAAAAGGUGGUAGCAAUAAACAAAUGGGUAGUUGCACAUAUUAUGAUUUGUACCAUAUUGUCUGAAUGCAUAAAAUAUAAUUUAAUUUAAAGGAAAUUCUUUUGGUUUGUGUUGUCAAUGCUAGUGGCAGGCUUUCCAAUGUGCAACUAGAACAGAAACAAAGACCCCUAAAAAUCCCUGCCCUCAGGUUAUACAGCUAGCUAAUGCUUGAGUUGGGAAUAAUCCAGUCCUUAAUGGUUUUGUGACUUUAUGGAUGGCCUGCGUGUUAUUGUUUAUAUCCGGAAAUUUCGCACAUGCGCACAACAAUGCGGGGUAUAAAAAAGGCUAUUCAUUUACAUCCACAGCCGUGCUGCCACGGUAGAACAAUUCCGUUUACUAAACAAAACCUGGAGAUUUACGUAUUAUUAAUUUAGUGCAGUGCGCCCCAGCAAAGGGAAAAAAACUUUAAAAGACAACUCAAAACAACAUAUUUCUCUGUGUCGGCUGUGCUACACGCAGACUCAGUUGCUAUAGCAACUGAUGACACCACCAGCAAAAACAUCCCCCACACAAAGAACAGAGCAUUCAGUCCACUAGAGUAUUAAGUGUUUAGGGUUGAUGUUUAUUUUGCAGUUAUUGUUAAGUGAAAGCUGUGAUAGAUUAGCUACUGUUGCUACUAGCUAAGCUAACACAGGGUGGUUGAAUAGCUAAUUUAAACAUUGCUCUACUGAUGAUUUGUCAGACAUUACUUAAACGUGGACUACUAAACUGGAUUAAUGAGAAGUCUCCCACUUUAACUCAGUGAUGUAAAUCAUUUUUUAAGAUAUUGAUACUAGAAGCUCAGUACAAGAUUGAGAAACAAUGAUGAUGGAUUUAUGAAUAUAUAUUGACCUCCAGUGGAAAUCUGCUCCGAAUCUACAAUAUAUUAUCCAAGGCAUUAUGGUGUGGUGAGGAUAUGGAGGGGUUACUUAAAAUUAGAGAAAGGAAAUGUGUAUUUUUAUUAAAGCCUUUUUUAUUUUGCAUGUAAGCACAAAAAUGUCUCUAAAACUCAUAAACUGAUCAGGAAACCAGUUAUUGGGUAUAAGAGGCAAUUUUUUUUUUAAUAAAUAAAACUAUAAUUUGCAAACAUCAGUUUUCAUCAAGUCAAAAAUACCUUUCAUAUUGCAAUGUUUAAUGUUAAACAUUUGAGUGUGACAAAUAAGAAGUAUACAAGCGGACAAAUACUUUUUCAAACGAUGGUAUUUAGAAUUUUCUCCAUGUGUGAAUAUGAAGAAAAAAGAUAAUAAUAAAUUAAAUCAAGAAGGGUUAUAAACAGACUGCACAUUUAACCAUUUUCACACUAUAUUAGAAUCUGUUGUUUGAACUACGUCUGUUUCAGUAAGCAAUAAAUCAAUCGCAUGAUAAAUGAAAACAAGCUUGUGUAGCGUAGUUGAUUCUGCGUUGUGUUUUGUGGGGAAUAACAGCCAGACAACAGCUGAUCUGAAGGCACUUUUAAUGCUCCUGCAUUCAAAUAGCAGAAAAUAGUCAUUCAAAAACAGGUUUUUUCAUCACAGUGUUCCACAGCGCUUUCUCCCACGGAAUCCAAACAAAAAGAGAACGUGCGACUUGUGUAAAAUAACACAUUUACCUUACAAAAUAAAAAUAAUUGCAACAAUAAUUAGUAACUAACCCCAAGCAUGAGCAUAAUGAUCUUAAACAGUACAUGAAUAAGACAAAAAAAUAAUAAAUAAAAUAAUCCCACACCAAAAGUAAUGAAACAUCACAUACCUGCAUUCAAAUA